AGCGAACGCUGGCGGCAGGCUUAACACAUGCAAGUCGAGCGGGCACUUCGGUGUCAGCGGCAGGCGGGUGAGUAACACGUGGGAACGUACCCUUUGGUUCGGAAUAACGCUGGGAAACUAGCGCUAAUACCGGAUACGCCCUUUUGGGGAAAGGCUUGCUGCCGAAGGAUCGGCCCGCGUCUGAUUAGCUAGUUGGUGGGGUAAUGGCCUACCAAGGCGACGAUCAGUAGCUGGUCUGAGAGGAUGAUCAGCCACACUGGGACUGAGACACGGCCCAGACUCCUACGGGAGGCAGCAGUGGGGAAUAUUGGACAAUGGGCGCAAGCCUGAUCCAGCCAUGCCGCGUGAGUGAUGAAGGCCUUAGGGUUGUAAAGCUCUUUUGUCCGGGACGAUAAUGACGGUACCGGAAGAAUAAGCCCCGGCUAACUUCGUG
rnacentral:rRNA from 1 species